CAGGAGGCUUGGGAGGAGCAGAAGGGGAGGGAGGCGCGAUGAAAACACAGGCCAUCAAAAGAGAGGGCCUCGAAAGAGGCAAGAGCAGAGCGGAGCCUCCGGGCUGAAGGCCAGCUUUUCUCUGCGCCCUCCUAGAUGCACGGGUCUGCUGCCUCUCCCCAAACCCCCAGAUCUCUAAGUAUCAGAACAGCCCACACUGGGCAUCAGACAUGUGAGCGUGGCCCCCGCAGAGACAGGGAGCCGGCCUCCUUCCCUCUCCUGCCAGCUCCCACAAUUGGGUGGGCGGAUGGUGCUCCGCUGAGAUCAGCUAAACAGGCCCACCUCUGAUGUGCGAAGCCCUCCUUUUACACAGCCAUGAGUGCCUGAAAGCUUGGGAGCAUAAAUCAAUGCCAGGCAAAGGAGUCCUCAUUGAAAUUCACCAGGAAAAAUGCAUCGCUGAGGAUCCUAGAGUGAGUUCCUCUCCACAGACAACAGUUGCCCCAGACAUGGCUCUUGCAUCAGCACACAGUGGAGCGGUUGGAAGUGGGCCCACUCCGACUAUGGAACUUCAUCAGGAGGAUGUUCUGGCCGCGCCAGGAGAGAGGAGAGCUUGGGACACAAAGGAGAAGGCAAUGUGAAAACUGAGCAGAGAGAGAUGUGGCCACAAGCCAAGACAUGCUGACAGCACCGGAUGCUGAGAGAGGCAAGGCACGGCCUCUUCCCUGGAGUCUCCAGGAGACACGAGGCCCUGAAGACAACUUGAUUUCAGACUUGUGGCCUCCCAAACUGUGAGAGAAUAAAGUUCUAGUGUUUGAAGCCACCAAGUCUGUUGUAGUUUGCUAUAGCAUCCCCAGAAAUGGAUAUGGAUGAUGAGUGCUGGAGCUGCUGGAGCCAUCUUGUGCCAUGUGGAGAGGAUGGGGGAGCCUGAAGCAGAUCCAGAAGAAAGCAGAGCUGAGGGGUAGAAAGGGAUGCAGGGGGCUAGGGAGAACUCUGAGGACACUGGGUUACCCUGGAGGCAGCCUCCCCUCCCUGGCCUUUUCAGCAACAUAAGCCAGCAUGUUUCCCUUUUACUUAAGCCAGUUUGAAACUGGUUUUCUGUCACUUGCAACCCAAAGUGUUCUGACUAACACUCUCACCCAGUAAUUAUCACGAGCCUUAAAAAUAGCUCAAAUCUUUGACCCGGUGAUCCCAGCUUUCUGCCCUAAGAAAAUAAUCUUUAUCAGGACAGUCAUGGCAGUGUGAAAAAAUAGAAAAACCCUAUAUAUGCAACCACAGGACACACAUGCAUAAAUUAUGGGUGGAUAGUAUAUAACUAUUAAAACUCCAGUUUCAUGCUUAUUAUAAAAUAAUAAGUGAAAGGCAGAACAGCAAUAAAAAAUACAUGCACAUACAUAAACAUACAUUUGUGUAUAUAUAUAUAUAUACAUAAAAAUAAUCUCUAUUUUUUAAAAUUUGGUUGAGAUAAUUUUAAAGGCAACAAAGCAUUGCACAUACAGUUGAAAUCCUGUGUACCUACCCACAGUUUCUUACAUAGCCUCCUUCUCUCUCCAAAGGUAGCCACCUUAUCUAAGUUGGUGUCAUCCCCAUGCACGAUUUUAAAUACUGCCUGUGUCUGUAUCCGUAAGUAAUGCAGCAUAUUUGCACAGCUCUGGAUUUUAAUCAGCAGGAUGAGGCUUCCUGCAACUUGUCUUUUCUCCAUGAACCAUAUGCUUGUGCAUUCAGUCCAUCUUGAUAACAUGUAACUCCAGUUAGUUAAUUUUAGCUGCUGUUGAGAAUUCCUUUUCUGAGUGUCCCACAGUUUACUUAUCCUUUCUGUGGUUAAUGAACACUGAGCUUAUUGGCAAUACUUCUUACUCUAAACCGCGGCAGCUCUUCUGGUUCCUCGUGUACACAUGUGAGAUUGGCUCCAGGGGUUUACGCCCCAAGUGCAGUAGCGGUUGCAGGGCGUGUGUGUCUUCUUCCCUCUAAGGUGCAGCUGAAUCGUGCUUCUAAGGGGUGGUAUUAAGAGUGAGGAGUUGGCCGGGCGCGGUGGCUCACGCCUGUAAUCCCAGCACUUUGGGAGGUUGAGGCAGGCGGAUCAUGAGGUCAGAAUAUCAAGUCGAUCCUGGCCAACAUGGUGAAACCCCGUCUCUACUAAAAAUACAAAAAAUAGCCAGGCAUGGUGGCAUGUGCCUGUGGUCCCAGCUACUCUGGAGGCUGAGGCAGGAGAAUUGCCUGAACCGGGGAAGCAGAGGCUGCAGUGAGCCGAGAUCGCGCCACUGCACUCCAGCCGGGUGACAGAGUGAGACUGUCUCAAAAAAAAAAGAAGAGUGAGUAGUUUCCAUUUUCCACAUCCUCAAUGGGGAGACAUUUUUAUUUUUGACAAUCUAACA
ensembl:lncRNA